UGGCUGUGAUGACAAUCGUGCUAUUGCAACGGUUGGGUCCGUUGCUCUCAUCUGACCAUCAGAUGCAAAUUCCAGUGCUGCUGAGCCU
rfam:Erythranthe guttata cultivar DTN x IM62 scaffold_200_contig_8, whole genome shotgun sequence.